UGUUCCCGUAUAGAACUUGUCGAAUAAAGAAUGGAUCUACUUUUCACUAUUUUGGAUUCUUUGCGUGGUUUUAAAGUCAAUAAACAACCUUUUUAAACACUGUAUUUUUAGAACACAAACAUUACAAAAGAACCCUGACCAUGCUCUCUUUUUCUCAGCGCGACCGUUCGUGUCCAGUCCUUUUUACCUAUCCUAAUUGGGGGGGGGGGUAGGACUUAUUAAAUUUUAAACAAUGUCAACAUUCCAAAACAUCCCCCUCCCGAAUGUGACUACAUUCGAAAACUAAAGUUAAAGUUAUAAAGUUUAUGAAGUUUCUUCUUCAUUGUUCUUUUAAUCAUUGUCUCUCUCUAACGGGCACAAUCUGUGUACAGGUCGGAUAUACUCGUUGUCUCCAACUCGAAUCUUUACCACUCUUAUGAGUCCAUCACCGCCUCGAUAUGUUUCUAUGACGCGACCAAGCGGCCACUCGCCACGCUUUGCGUUCGGCUCGACUAAUAGGACAACAUCACCUGCAGUUAACUCUCGCUUAGGAUUAAACCACUUUCCUCUUACGUUGAGGCUAGGUAAGAACUCUUUACGCCAUCUUUUCCAGAACUGCGUGAUCAAUUGUUGAAUACG
rnacentral:lncRNA from 1 species